UAGGGAAUCUUCCACAAUGGGUGCAAACCUGAUGGAGCAAUGCCGCGUGAGUGAAGAAGGUCUUCGGAUCGUAAAGCUCUGUUGUUAGAGAAGAACACGUGCUAGGUAACUACUAGCGCCUUGACGGUAUCUAACCAGAAAGUCACGGCUAACUACGUGCCAGCAGCCGCGGUAAUACGUAGGUGACAAGCGUUGUCCGGAUUUAUUGGGCGUAAAGGGAGCGCAGGCGGUCUGUUUAGUCUAAUGUGAAAGCCCACGGCUUAACCGUGGAACGGCAUUGGAAACUGACAGACUUGAAUGUAGAAGAGGAAAAUGGAAUUCCAAGUGUAGCGGUGGAAUGCGUAGAUAUUUGGAGGAACACCAGUGGCGAAGGCGAUUUUCUGGUCUAACAUUGACGCUGAGGCUCGAAAGCGUGGGGAGCGAACAGGAUUAGAUACCCUGGUAGUCCACGCCGUAAACGAUGAGUGCUAAGUGUUGGGGGCUUUCCGGCCCUCGGUGCUGGAGCUAACGUAUUAAGCACUCCGCCUGGGGAUUACGACCGCAAGGUU
rnacentral:rRNA from 1 species